UUAAACUCAGUCAGACACACAUCAUGAUCAUCGUCCUCUGUAUCACCUUUAACCUUUUCAUCGUUUCAGGUUCCUCUGUCGACAAAGAAGUCACCCAGACUCCAGCUGACAUGAUCAACAAACUGGGAGAACCAGCCAACAUCCACUGCAAACAUGAAAAUGAAGACUUUACCCGAAUCCUCUGGUACAAACAGUUAAAGAACAGACAGAUGCAGCUCCUGGGAUACAUGAACGUUAAUCAAGGUUAUCCUGAAGAAGGACUUAAUGUGACGAUAACAGGGAGUGCCAUGAAAGAUCAGACCUGCACAUUAACAAUCAAAGAAGUGGAGCUGAACAGCAGUGCAGUGUAUUUCUGUGCUUUCACAGCCCCUUACACCUGUUUCAAAGUCCUCUAA